GGGAGAUUGUUAGUACAACAUGUGUUGUUGGCAUUCCAUUAACCACAAAAGUUGUGCGCAGUGGUCUUCUUCUUCACUCUCAUGCGUGGGUAUCUUCUCUUCAUGGUGAUCAUUCUGUCAAAGCAUGGAGGAUUAAUUAAGCACCAUGUGGUGGCAUUGCUUUUCAGACAUGAACAUGGGAGCUAAUCUUUCUAUACUCACAACCUUGCUGUUAAAGAACAAAGGAGGGAGCCUUUGCAUCUGGCUUCGAUAUCGUCUUGCUGCCAUAUGAGAAAGAAAGAAGACCAUGGCAGCUUGGUUCUCCACCUUCUUCUGACAAGAACCUUGCUGUCAUGGAAGAAUGGAGGAAACCACAAAUCAGCUUUCAAUCUCUCCUUGCUGUCCAAGAUGGAAGUAGGAAGCAAGUGCCUAUUCACCUCGUGAUCUUCUGGUGAUUUGUUAGUAUUAACAUAUUGGCAAGGAGAGGCAAUAUCCCAUUGAGAUGGAUCCGGGUGAGGAAGAAAAUCUUGGAGAGGUAAUUAAUAUCCCCUUGAGAUGGAUCCGGGUGAGGAAGAAAAUCUUGGAGAGGUAAUUAAUAUCCCCUUGAGAUGGAUCCGAGUGAAGAAGAAAGGUGAAAGCAACCAUAUCUUCUCCUUGCUGUCCACUCAGUGUAAUCAUGAAGACCUUGCUGUCUAAAAUGAUAGUGGGAAGCAAGCAACUGGUGAUCAUUCAUACAUGAACUUAAAGACCAAGUAUGAUAGUUUGUUUAAUUGCAAGUAUGGAUAUCUUGCUGUCGAAGACAGGUGGCCUUGUUCAUCUUCAUGGAAACCUUGCUGUCAAAGAUCAAAGUGGGAGACAAUUGCAGCAGGGUUCCCCAUUUUAGUUGGUUAUCUUGCCGAAACACAAGGCCCUACUCCAACCAAGCUUCUAGCAACUUUGACAGAAUGGAAUUCCUUCUUCCUCCUAUAUAUACAUGGGUAUUCUGUUUGUUCUAGGCAUUGAAAUCGUGUUGAGUUUCAAUCCCUUGAUUGUAAAAGAGUCAGACUCUUUGUUGCUCUGUUUUGUUCCAUGUUGAAAACAGUUUGUGAGUCUGUCCAGUAAGGAUUGCAGCAGUCAUUGCAAUCCCACAGUUAAAUGUGUAGUCUGUCCAGUAAGGAUUGCAGCAGUCAGUGCAAUCCCAGAUUGUAAGUUAGUCAGUUCAGGAGGGAUUGCCGCGGUCAGUGCAAUACCUGAGUUGUAACUUUGUAAUCUGUUUUGAUUAGUGAAUCAUUGGGUUCUCAAGAGUUAGAGCCCCGCAGUGUUUUUGAUCUCAAUUGAGGUUUUCACUGCGUGACCAAGUUG